rnacentral:rRNA from 1 species
UACGUAGGGUGCGAGCGUUGUCCGGAAUUAUUGGGCGUAAAGAGCUCGUAGGCGGUUUGUCGCGUCGGCCGUGAAAACUUGGGGCUUAACUCCAAGCUUGCGGUCGAUACGGGCAGACUUGAGUUCGGCAGGGGAGACUGGAAUUCCUGGUGUAGCGGUGAAAUGCGCAGAUAUCAGGAGGAACACCUGCGGCGAAGGCGGGUUGCUGGGCUGACACUGACGCUGAUGCGCGAAAGCUAGGGGAGCGAACGGG